AACCCUGCCACUCGGCAAAAAAUAAAAAAAAACUUGUAAAGGCGUUGGUACUUAUGGGAAGACGACUUUUUAAUGACAAGGCUAAAAA
rnacentral:sRNA from 1 species